rnacentral:misc_RNA from 1 species
GAUGAAGAACGUAGCGAAAUGCGAUAAGUAAUGCGAAUUGCAGAAUUCCGUGAGUCAUCGAAUCUUUGAACGCACAUUGCGCCUUUGGCAUUCCGAAGGGCAUGCCUGUUCGAGCGUCAUUUAUCAACCCUCAAGCCCGGCUUGCGGUUGGGUCCCGCCGUGGGCGACCACGGCGGACCCGAAAGGUAAUGGCGGUGCCCGUGGGGCCCUGGACGCAGCGAGCUUCUCGGCACGCGUCCCGGCGGUCCCCGGCGCCGUCUCCACCAAUCCACCACGCAGAUUGACCUCGGAUCAGGUAGGGAUACCCGCUGAACUUAAGCAUAUCAAUAAGCGGAGGA